GGAUGUGAGGGCAAUCUGGCUAUAGCAUCUUUCACCCAGUUGAUCAUUGUGGUUGAUUGGUCUGAUCUGACUGGCUAGACGGGUGUCCACAUCCUCCUUUAUGUACAUCCUUCUCCAAGUGACAUGCUCAGUCAAAGAGGAUGACUUUCCCUGAUAUCGGAGAGCCUGCCUUUGGCAGGGUCCGUAUGUAUAAGCAGCUGCAUGCUUCUGGUGGAACCCUCAAACAGGCCCUCAAGGAGCUAGACUUUCCGAGCACAGCCCUGGAGCCCCAUUGAAAACACUCUGCCUUCAGAGGCAGUGUCUUU
rnacentral:snRNA from 1 species